UACCCAGCUCGGGGGCAUUACGCCAGGGUGCCUGGCUUCCCCCGCAGGCCCUGGCAUCCCUCUGGGUACCAGGAUGCCGAGGUGGGGACACAGGAUGCAGAGGGGCUCUGGCCUGCUGAGUGGAGUCAGUUCAGCCCAUUCCCGUCCACCACCUGGAAUGUGGAUUUCGCUCCAGAAAAACUCAUCUGAAAAAGUUCUGGAUCCUGGCUGCAUCUCGCUGUUGCUGGUCAUACUGGAAGCCUGGAGUUCCAGAAGCUUCUCCAUGGUUCUGUGUGGAAUGAGGCCCAAACCAGCCUUUCCUUUUGGAGAAGUAAGUAAAUGUGAUUUCUGAGUCCCUUAUCU
ensembl:lncRNA